rnacentral:lncRNA from 1 species
UCCGUUACAACUAUUGAUGAAAACGACUCUAUACAGGACAACCUCUUAGCAACACGGCUUUCAGAAUGGAAUUGAGAGGCACAACUCUCACGUUACGAGAGCUGAUCUUAACCUUGAAACUGAAGUAAAGACAGAUGCGCUUGAGCUUGACGGUUCCCUUGCUUUAAUAGGAUGGAGCUAUUGAUUUGAUCCACUUCCUACUGGGGUUGAACAACCAGAUACUAGACUCUAUUUUAUACGUCUCUUGCACCAACUCGUUCAACUUACAAAGAAGGGUAAACAGGACUGGCUACUUCAACUCUCAAGUCGUAUUGGGAUUUCAUGGAAAAAGUAGGAAUUUGGAUUUCGCAUACUAGAAGUAUCCUACCAAUAACCCACUAGAAGUACCCGACCCAUAUAGUAUAAGGUAGAAGCAGUGCAAUGAAUGUCUACGAGAGAUAAAGAAUCAGCAUAACAAGCGCAAGGGAAUAAACUUGUAGCAAGGGAAGACACAUAUAUUAAUAUUGUUUCGGGGCGCAGGCUAGCGAGUUAUUAGCGAAAGUAGAAAGAAUCCAUUGGGUUAGACAAACAAUAAAAAACGAAGUGUAUCAUCGCCAGAACAACCAACGGAAUCCGCUGUGCCGAGAAGAAGGCUAAAGUAAGGGUAAGCGGAGUAAGCAUCUGCUGUAAGAGGAAAAUCUACUUGUUCAGGUAAAGAAUAAGGAUCCGGAUCAUAGAAGUAUAAGAAUUGCCUGCUCGAGUUUCAUCUUAUAAGGAAGUAGGUAACCAAGGAGAUAUAAAGGAAGUAGGUAACCAAGGAGAGGAUAUAGGUAGAGAGUUGAAAGAUAAGGAUCAGGCCCAUACUCGUCAGUGAGCGGCAAAAGGUUCUGUUUCGAGUGUUGUCUAAGUUGGUGCUUUACUUUAAUCGUAUGUAUCAAGAAGCGAAAAGUCGGUGUUAGGUUCUUCUCCGGGUGUUGCCCUCAAUGAAAGUCAAGUUAUUGUCGACCAGAGUAGACACAUGAUAGAAUUUAGGUAACAACACCUUACUCCAAAGCUUAGUAGCAUCAUAGUUUCUACUGGCGCUCUGCUGGAUGCUUCUGAUCAAUAGGAUAGGAAUAGUCAUAAUAUCAUUAAGUGACAAAAAGAGAAUGUUGUGCACCAAACCCAUAAUGUAAUCAAUAAUGUAAUAGAGUAGCAAAACAAAGCAUUGCUUCCAAAACUCACUUAUUUCAUCUAAGAAACCGAGCUGUGGGCGGAGUUGGACCUGUGUUCAUAACUAUACUGCAACCGCCAUCCCUAUACAAUAGUAAGUACUUGAUUCUUGCCUUGCUUAUUGUUCUUUACCACUAGCUUAUUCACAACGACUUGCUUAUUGUUCUUUACCACUAGCUUAUUCACAACGACUUGCUUAUUGUUCUUUACCACUAGCUUGUUUACAACUACCAAAAUGGAGUAACCUGAUCUCACUGCAUGUUUGUUCCCGCUUCUUAGACCUCUUCUCUUGCUCGGCUCAACACUUAUUCUAUCCAGUACCGCCUUACUCUUGUUUGUUGAAUUGAAGCGGAACUUGAACUUGACGAAACUUACUCUACUUGAUACGAGACUUAGAACAGUAGGAGGCGAGCGUGAAGUCAACCAAGACUCCAUUCCAUCUUUCUCACAUAUGAUAUGAUAUAAUAUAAAUAAAUGAAAAAAACACACUAAACUCACUUAUAACUUUGAGAACGAAUUGAUACAUCCCAUGCAACUCGAAAGAAUGUAUUUCACUGACACAAGACAAGCAAUAUAUAUAUAUGAGUAACCCAACUCUUAUCUCAUUGCCAAACAACAAGAAGCUAACUUGCCGCCCAUUGCUUUCAGAAAAGAAAUCCAAUCUUAUUUAUUGCCAGACAGCCUUACCCGCUCCAUACUAUACUUGAACGAGAGGCGAGUGCUCAGUAAACCAUUCAUUGAAUCCUAGCCUUCCUAUUCCUAUAAUGUAGAAGAUAGUCACAAAGUAGAAGAUAGUAACGCACCCAUUCUUCCUUCUUAAGCGCUAAGUCGUAGAGUUCUGUUCGAGUGUGAAAGAAAAGAACCAAAAGUCAAAGAACAAGCUCACUUUUUGUCCUUGCUUGCUCGAACUCCCGUUAGCUUACUUAGUAACUCGCUAACGCGCAAUGACUUGUGGAAUAUAAGAGUAGAAUAUGCACUCUCGCUCUAAGGAGGGAAGAAACCCCUAUUACAGUAGGCCGGUAGGGAAAACACCGCUAUUACUGUGGGCUCUGCUCUAAUUGCUUCCUGCUGACACAAACUAACUUAUGGAAAAUUGAGGAAACCCCCAUUAUGUAAUCAAGUACACAAACACUUGAACUCACGUUAGCAUCCCAAGACAUAAGCGUUAGUAGCACAAUGGUUAACUCCACUCUGUUCGCACAGCGCCCGUACUUGAUCUUGAUUCUUUUCUUUUUCCUAC